GACGAACGCUGGCGGCGUGCCUAAUACAUGCAAGUUGAGCGAUGAAGCUUGGUGCUUGCACCAAUUUGCAGAGCAGCGAACGGGUGAGUAACGCGUGGGGAAUCUGCCUUUGAGCGGGGGACAACAUUUGGAAACGAAUGCUAAUACCGCAUAAUAACUUUAAACAUAAGUUUUAAGUUUGAAAGAUGCAAUUGCAUCACUCAAAGAUGAUCCCGCGUUGUAUUAGCUAGUUGGUGAGGUAAAGGCUCACCAAGGCGAUGAUACAUAGCCGACCUGAGAGGGUGAUCGGCCACAUUGGGACUGAGACACGGCCCAAACUCCUACGGGAGGCAGCAGUAGGGAAUCGUCGGCAAUGGACGAAAGUCUGACCGAGCAACGCCGCGUGAGUGAAGAAGGUUUUCGGAUCGUAAAACUCGGUUGGUAGAGAAGAACGUUGGUGAGAGUGGAAAGCUCAUCAAGUGACGGUAACUACCCAGAAAGGGACGGCUAACUACGUG
rnacentral:rRNA from 1 species